UCAGAAAAAGAGGGCUAAACCUCCAUCACCAACUCCCAAAGCUGGCAUUUUUCCAUUAAA
rnacentral:tRNA from 1 species